rnacentral:rRNA from 1 species
GGACGAACGCUGGCGGCGUGCUUAACACAUGCAAGUCGAGCGGUAAGGCCCUUUCGGGGGUACACGAGCGGCGAACGGGUGAGUAACACGUGGGUGACCUGCCCUUUAGCUCUGGGAUAAGCCUGGGAAACCGGGUCUAAUACCGGAUAUGACUCCGCGGCGCAUGUUGUGGGGGUGGAAAGGCCUUGUGCGGCUGGGAGAUGGGGCCCGCGGGCCCUAUCCAGCUUGUUGGUGGGGUGAUGGCCUACCAAGGCGACGACGGGUAGCCGGCCUGAGAGGGCGACCGGCCACACUGGGACUGAGACACGG